UAUUUACACAAAACCCACUGGCGUUUCUAAUAAAAUUCCCUCUGCUGUACUGGGGGACAGUCUACACAGCAGGAACUAUCUUCCUGGACUACUGUGGACACUGCUUUUCCUCUGAUGUCUGUCUUUGGUGCUUGCUUAGCUUAGAACUCAAAGAACUUGGGUCAUUGUACUCAACAUUUGAAUGGUCCGGAUUUUCAACUGUGUGAUUUUAAGUAAUUUUUUGGAUUCAUCUAAGAGCCUGAUCUAUGGAUUUAGUGUAUAUAUAUAUGUUCCAAUGCCAAUCAACUGAUUUACAAAUGCAUCUUGGAAGACAUUUUAUUAUGAAACUUUCUUCUGUGUGUUUAUGAAAGACAGCUAGUUAGCACCAGAUGCUAUAUCAUUUUUCCAGCAGCCAGCCCUUGAAGAGGAGUUGGAGUCAGCCACUGGCUAGAUUUUGGACACAUCAAGAAGUCCAUACUCAGUAUCAACAUUAUUACCUUGAUGGCAUCUCAAGUGGGAAGAAAGAUUAAGAAACACAGAGUACAUGGAUCACCCUGUAGAACAGGCCUAUGACAGAAAAUAACUCCUUGUUCCUUAUAUUUUACAAGAUGUUUUUUAAAAUUUCUAAAGCAGAGAACUAGUACUGUUUCCCUGAUUACAUAAGUUCACCUGCCAGGACAAAUGAAGAACAGAUGUGUCAUUUCCAGUAUUCAGAAAAUAAAUUCCAGCUUAUUUUUAAAACAUGCUCUCUGAAUGCCUCUGCAUGGUACAUAGGUGGCUGCUGUCAUGAGAACCACCUUCCUGGGUCACUAUACAAGCUGUUAUCCCUCUGGUUCCCCAUCUUCAGAGUUCUCAGUGACUUAAGCUUCAAAUACAUCUUCUAAGUCGCUUCAGUCAUGUCCGACUCUUUGCAACCCCAUGGACAGUAGCCUGCCAGGCUUCUCUGUCCAUGGAAUUCUCCAGGCAAGAAUACUGGAGUGGGUUGCCAUGGGCUUCUCCAGGGGAUCUUCCUGACCCAGGAAUCGAACCUGGGUCUCCCACAUUGCAGGC
ensembl:lncRNA